rnacentral:rRNA from 1 species
AAUCUCGGGAAACUGAGGCUAAUACCUGAUGGGUUUUCUGUUCUGGAAUGAUAGAAAAUCGAAAGGUUACGGUAUAGGAUGGGACUACAUCCUAUCAGCCUGUUGGAGGUGUAAUGAACUUCCAAAGCUAUAACGGGUACGGGCCAUGAGAGUGGAAGCCCGGAGAUGGAUUCUGAGACAUGAAUCCAGGUCCUACGGGACGCAGCAGUUACGAAAACUUCGCAAUGCUCUAACGAGUGACGAGGGGACUCGGAGUGUUCAUGCUUUGCAUGAACUUUUGUUCACUUCAAACAGGUGGACGAAUAAGAGGUGGGUAAUACGAGUGCCAGCCGCCGCGGUAAUACUCGAGCCUCGAGUGGUAUCCACUAUUAGUUGGUUUAAAGCGUCCGUAGCCGGUUUGGUAAGUUCCUAGUGAAAUCCUUUGGCAAACUAAAGGGCUUGCUGGGAAUACUACCAGACUUGGGACUGGGAGAGGGUAGAGGUACUCCCGGGGGAGGGGUAAAAUCCUAUAAUCCUGGGGGGACCACCUGUGGCGAAGGCUUCUAUCUAGAACAGGUUCGACGGUGAGGGACGAAACCUAGGGGAGCGAUCGGGAUUAGAUACCCCGGUAGUCCUAGGCGUAAACGAUGCCCGUUUGGUGUUACAAACCUUUCGAGGGUCUGUAGUGCCGGAGCGAAAGUGUUAAACGGGCCACCUGGGGAGUACGUCCGCAAGGAUGAAACUUA